rnacentral:rRNA from 1 species
AGGGUUCGAUUCCGGAGAGGGAGCCUGAGAAACGGCUACCACAUCUACGGAUGGCAGCAGGCGCGAAAAUUGCCCAAUCCCGAUUCGGGGAGGCAGUGACAAGAAAUAACAACCCAGAACUUUGUUCCGGGAUUGCAAUGAGAACAA